AGCGAACGCUGGCGGCAGGCUUAACACAUGCAAGUCGAGCGGGCAUAGCAAUAUGUCAGCGGCAGACGGGUGAGUAACGCGUGGGAACGUACCUUUUGGUUCGGAACAACUGAGGGAAACUUCAGCUAAUACCGGAUAAGCCCUUACGGGGAAAGAUUUAUCGCCGAAAGAUCGGCCCGCGUCUGAUUAGCUAGUUGGUGAGGUAAUGGCUCACCAAGGCGACGAUCAGUAGCUGGUCUGAGAGGAUGAUCAGCCACAUUGGGACUGAGACACGGCCCAAACUCCUACGGGAGGCAGCAGUGGGGAAUAUUGGACAAUGGGCGCAAGCCUGAUCCAGCCAUGCCGCGUGAGUGAUGAAGGCCCUAGGGUUGUAAAGCUCUUUUGUGCGGGAAGAUAAUGACGGUACCGCAAGAAUAAGCCCCGGCUAACUUCGUGCCAGCCGCCGCGGUAACAC
rnacentral:rRNA from 1 species